UUUUCCGGUUGAUCCUGCCAGAGGUCACUGCUAUCGGGGUUCGAUUAAGCCAUGCGAGUCGAGAGGGUUCGGCCCUCGGCGUACUGCUCAGUAACACGUGGAUAACCUGCCCUAGGGAAGGGGAUAAUCCCGGGAAACUGGGGAUAAUACCCUAUAGGUUACAGAUGCUGGAAUGCUCUGUAAUCAAAAGUUCCGGCGCCCUAGGAUGGAUCUGCGGCCGAUUAGGUUGUUGUUGGGGUAAUGGUCUUUCAAGCCAGUAAUCGGUACGGGUUGUGGGAGCAAGAGCCCGGAGUUGGAUUCUGAGACACGAAUCCAGGCCCUACGGGGCGCAGCAGGCGCGAAAACUUUACAAUGCGGGCAACCGUGAUAAGGGAACCUCGAGUGCCUGUAAAUGCAGGCUGUUCAGAUGCCUAAAACACAUCUGGAGAAAGGGCCGGGCAAGACCGGUGCCAGCCGCCGCGGUAAUACCGGCGGCUCGAGUGGUGGCCACUUUUAUUGGGCUUAAAGCGUUCGUAGCUGGGUUGUUAAGUCUCUUGGGAAAUCUGGCGGCUUAACCGUCAGGCGUCUAAGGGAUACUGGCAAUCUUGGAACCGGGAGAGGUGAGGGGUACUUC
rnacentral:rRNA from 1 species